rnacentral:rRNA from 1 species
AUUGAACGCUGGCGGCAGGCCUAACACAUGCAAGUCGAACGGUAACAGGAAGAAGCUUGCUUCUUUGCUGACGAGUGGCGGACGGGUGAGUAAUGUCUGGGAAACUGCCUGAUGGAGGGGGAUAACUACUGGAAACGGUAGCUAAUACCGCAUAACGUCGCAAGACCAAAGAGGGGGACCUUCGGGCCUCUUGCCAUCGGAUGUGCCCAGAUGGGAUUAGCUAGUAGGUGGGGUAACGGCUCACCUAGGCGACGAUCCCUAGCUGGUCUGAGAGGAUGACCAGCCACACUGGAACUGAGACACGGUCCAGACUCCUACGGGAGGCAGCAGUGGGGAAUAUUGCACAAUGGGCGCAAGCCUGAUGCAGCCAUGCCGCGUGUAUGAAGAAGGCCUUCGGGUUGUAAAGUACUUUCAGCGGGGAGGCAGGGAGUAAAGUUAAUACCUUUGCUCAUUGACGUUACCCGCAGAAGAAGCACCGGCUAACUCCGUG